rnacentral:rRNA from 1 species
UAUGCUUGUCCCAAAGCUUAAGCCAUGCAUGCCUACGACGAAGGAGUAAGGUAGCUUGAUCUAGAAUCUGCGAAGGGCUCCAUAUAUCUGUUGUAACCUACCGUCUACGAGCGUGCUUACCCACCCAGGAUAUCUUAGGUAAUUCUUAGGCUAAUACUUAAGAAUACAUGGCCUCCCUGGUAACUUGUGGCCGGGGAGGCCGGGCAAGCCUGUGGACCGACGGUGCCCUGGAGGGCAGUGUUGGAAAGCGAGCUGUGUGCCCCUACAAUGCAACUGAACGACCUAAGAUGUCCCUGCGGUAAGCCACGACGGUCAUCAGACCUAUCAACUAGAGCAAUGGGGCAGGGCCCCAGCUGGUUACAACGGGUACAGAGGAUUAGGGUUCGAUCCUGGAGAGGUAGCCUUAAAGAUCGCUACUACUUCUAAGGAAGGCAGCAGGCGCGCAACGUUCCCCAUGGGGACACCCUGAGGACGUGAAGGGACAUAGCAAUACUGAGCCCCUAAAGGGUUCGGUAAUUGAAAUGGGGGAGAUUCAAACCCCCCACCGAGUAGC